rnacentral:lncRNA from 1 species
GGCGGGCAGUCGGGCGGGUGGCAACCAAAUGUUGUCCGUGCAUUUACUCAUGAACCGUUCAACCAAAGCUUUUAAAAUUUUAAUAUGGUGUUACUGACAACAAAAUGAAGGUCAAGUUCAAUAAUGACGGUUUUGACUUUUCCCGUUCAGGAGUAAUGGUUCUUGGAAGAUUGAAAAAUGGCAUUUCCAGUCGUGUCCUUGCAUUU